rnacentral:rRNA from 1 species
UACGUAGGGUGCAAGCGUUGUCCGGAAUUAUUGGGCGUAAAGAGCUCGUAGGCGGUUUGUUGCGUCGGCUGUGAAAUCCCGAGGCUCAACCUCGGGUCUGCAGUCGAUACGAGCAAACUAGAGUGUUGCAGGGGAGACUGGAAUUCCUGGUGUAGCGGUGAAAUGCGCAGAUAUCAGGAGGAACACCGGUGGCGAAGGCGGCCAUCUGGACAACAACUGACGCUGAGAUGCGAAAGCGUGGGGAGCAAACAGG